CGAAUGGACGAGUCGUAGCUGUAAAGAGACUAACAAGAAACUCUAAGCAAGGAAGAGUUGAUUUUAAGAACGAGGUCAUGCUAGUGGCCAGACUUCAACAUAGGAAUUUGGUUAGACUCUUGGGUUUCUGUUCUGAAAGAAAUGAAAGGCUUCUCAUAUAUGAAUAUGUUCCAAAUUCAAGUCUCGACCAUUACAUUUUUGAUCGAGAGAAGCGUUUACUAAUAAAUUGGGGCACAC
rnacentral:misc_RNA from 1 species